GCCGACGGUGAGCAAGGGGUCGCGCACGACGGCUGCACGACGCGCAGGACGACUUCUCUCACCCCGACAGCUGCAGGCGGUGCGGCGGACGAGAAAUGGGAUGGUAAAAUCGGGAGAAAGGGACGUUGCAGUGAAGAUGGACUGCGAUUCUUUCUCAAAGAAAGAGUGCAGGUACAAGAAGAUAGCUGUCGAUCUGAAGAAAGCCGCUGUUGAUCAAAAUGGAUUGAUAGUGAAGCUGAAGACAUAGAGGAAGAUGAGGGCAAAGCUUCAAUUGGCAUAGAACAGGGCUAGUAUAGUUUAGUCGGAUGUUGCAUUGUGUAUGCAAUUUGUGCUAUGUUAGUUAGAUGAAGCAAAUGUAGUAAAAGGUGGAGACUGGAAAUUGUGUAACUUUCUAUCUUUGAAAUGCAAUAAAUUGUGCAUUUGUUUUUGAAA